AUGGCUCUGGAUUACACCUU
rnacentral:miRNA from 1 species